AUACCUUUCUUGGCCUUUCGGCUAAGAUCAAGUGUAGUAUUUGUUCACAACUCCACAUCCUCAGAUUUUCCACCCUUU
rnacentral:snRNA from 1 species